rnacentral:rRNA from 1 species
AUUGAACGCUGGCGGCAUGCCUUACACAUGCAAGUCGAACGGCAGCACGGGGCAACCUGGUGGCGAGUGGCGAACGGGUGAGUAAUUCAUCGGAACGUACCUUUCAGUGGGGGAUAACGUAGCGAAAGUUACGCUAAUACCGCAUAUUCUGUGAGCAGGAAAGCAGGGGAUCGCAAGACCUUGCGCUGAUUGAGCGGCCGAUGUCAGAUUAGCUAGUUGGUGAGGUAAAAGCUCACCAAGGCGACGAUCUGUAGCGGGUCUGAGAGGAUGAUCCGCGACAACGGCAGUGAGACACGGUCCAGACUCCUACGUGAGGCAGCAGUGGGGAAUUUUGGACAAUGGGGGCAACCCUGAUCCAGCCAUGCCGCGUGAGUGAAGAAGGCCUUCGGGUUGUAAAGCUCUUUCGGCCGGGAAGAAAUCGCACGGGCUAAUACCCUGUGUGGAUGACGGUACCGGAAUAAGAAGCACCGGCUAACUACGUGCCAGCCGCCGCCGUAACAC